rnacentral:lncRNA from 1 species
GUUUUUUCCAUGUACUCUUGCUACAUGACCUGCUUCCCCACUGGAUCAAUAUUACCUAAGUAGCUAUACUUGUAAUCUUAUUGAUUGAUCAUAGUUUCAACCCACGUUUUACCCACAUGGUGAUUUUACUUUAUAAAACUUCCUCUGACAAGUGGGCUUGCUGCCAACCCACUUUCGAGUCCCCUCCUAUCUCUCAAGAGAAGUCAUCACACUACAGUAUAUGUACACUGCAGGACCACCGCUUGACAGGAUAUCAGGAGACGAAGAGAAGAAAAAAUUCCAAAUAACUUUCAUAAAGCCUGUGCAUUUAUCUCCUCCUCACCAGUAAGUACUAGGAACAGAAUCAGAGACAGUUUCUAGUGUUCUCCCACACCAGCUCCACCCCUUAUAAGCAGAUUUAAGGACCCCAAACCAGACUAAGCAGGAAGCACUUUUGUCACCACUCACACCCACUUCCCACCGGCACCCUUGACCAGUUUUCACUGGCCAGGAAAAUAUCCAUCAGCCUUCAUGCCCAGUCAUGCCCAGUCCAACCAGAAAGGAUAAAAGGGGAAAAGCAAAAGAUACAAAGGUGUUCUGGCUCACCACUGCAGUUUUUACCUGUAACAGAAUCAACAUAAGUUACAAAGGAGCCAAAAAUACUACUUUCAAGGCAUUCUUCAUUUUAUAAGUCAAAGACAACAACUACAAAGAGAGGAGAUCUCAAAACUGAGGAUGUGAGAAAAGAAUCAAGCUACCUGAAAAGGUGGUUUUCCAACUAGGCAUUGAUAUAUCACUGUUCCUAUGCUCCACAAGUCUGCCUUACCAUCAUAAUGUUGAGACAUAAUAACCUCAGGUGCCUGGGAAUAAAAAAUUUCAAGAGACAUGUAUUAUUUUAGCUAUAUAAUUAAUAUGCGCAUAUUAAUUAACAGGCAAUGGUCACAUACUAAAAAAAUUAACAGUGUAAUAUAUCUCUAAUCAAAUGAUAUUACAAUGAACUUAGAACGAAUUAUUAUAUUGAGAUAUACUAGUAAAUCUCAAAAAUAAUGUUUCAUGAAAAGGAAAAAUA